rnacentral:rRNA from 1 species
GAUGAACGCUGGCGGCGUGCCUAAUACAUGCAAGUCGAGCGAAUGGAUUAAGAGCUUGCUCUUAUGAAGUUAGCGGCGGACGGGUGAGUAACACGUGGGUAACCUGCCCAUAAGACUGGGAUAACUCCGGGAAACCGGGGCUAAUACCGGAUAACAUUUUGAACCGCAUGGGUCGAAAUUGAAAGGCGGCUUCGGCUGUCACUUAUGGAGGUACCCGGGUCGCAUUAGCUAGUUGGUGGGGUACCGGCUCACAAAGGCAACGAUGCGUAGCCGACCUGAGAGGGUGAUCGGCCACACUGGGACUGAGACACGGCCCAGACUCCUACGGGAGGCAGCAGUAGGGAAUCUUCCACAAUGGACGAAAGUCUGACGGAGCAACGCCGCGUGAGUGAUGAAGGCUUUCGGGUCGUAAAACUCUGUUGUUAGGGAAGAACAAGUGCUAGUUGAAUAAGCUGGCACCUUGACGGUACCUAACCAGAAAGCCACGGCUAACUACGUGCCAGCCGCCGCAGUAA